CAAUCAGGAGUGGAGUUGGCUUGCAUAUGGUUGCUGUAGAAAGACAGCAGCAGAACAGGUACCGAAUGAUGGCCGAAAGUUUGAAGGCCACGGAAUCCGAAUGUGGUGGUGGUGCGUAAGCAUUGAACGUCAGCAUCCUCAAAUGUUCAUAAACUACCUUUGAACAACUUGUUAAAGAGCUUCCUCAAUAUUUUGGAUCGAAGGGAUGUUUUCUCAUGUGGUAAAAACUAGUUUGUUAUCAAGCUUCGAUGGCUGAAAAUCUUAGAUGGAUGAACAAUGUUCUAAAUAGAAUGCUAAAGAGAUGAUG